UGAAGCUACAAAAGCUUUUACGUCAAGUCCGAUCCAUUCCUGAAAAAUCCUAUAGAAAAUCCUAUCGUCCUCACCCAUGGUCUGCCUUCAACCAUCAUCCUCAAAGACGAAAAACCUAACGCCUAUACUCCUCAUUCAACACCCAUCAAAAAGGAAAACUCCAAUUCCCCAGUCCAUCAUCUUUCAUCCUUUAAAUUCCUUAAAAGAACCUAUCAUCCUCUCACUUUUCUUGACAAACUCCACCAUCUUUCAUCCUUUAAAAUCUUUAAAAGAACCUAUCAUCCUAAACUCUCAACCUAUCAUCCUCUCACUUUUCUUGAAAAAUUUCUUGUAUCAUGACCUUGUUUCCGCAGAAACGUCUUUCCUCUCACCUUCCUUGACAAAUUUAGACACAUAUAAUUUUUUCCCGUCAAGCAACUUAUCAAGCAUUAAUAGCAGCAGCUUUCUUCCACCACCUUGCAAGAGAGUAUAUUGCCAAACUUGCAGAAAAUGUCUUGAAGGGAAAAAAUUAUACGUGUCCAAAUGUGUAAGUGAAUAAUCUGGGUGAAGAUUUGACAGAGGAUACAAUUCGAGGUAAGUUCUCUGAGUUUGGAAAAGUUGGCACUGAUGUUAUCAUCAAGGAUGGCAAUGGGAAAUCCAGAGGGUUUGGUUUUGUGUACUUUGAGCUGUGGAGGCCCUCACUGGUGCAAUCCUAGGGUCAAAGAAGUCGUUUCUUGGAAGGGCUCAGAAAAAAGCUGAAAGGCAGGAUCUUCUAAAACAUGAAAAUUGCAAGAAUCUGUAUGCGAAGAAUCUUUGAUGACGAGGAAUAAAAUCGGGAAGCAGAGAAUAUUUUCCAAGAAACAUGGAAGCUUCUUGGAAUCUUCGCAUACACGUCAUCAUCAAUUUUCCAAGAAUAUUUUUUCCUCACACACAGGGUGGCGUGGGGCGCGUGGUGGUCCUGGCCUGAUUAUCUGGCUCGCUACUACGGGGACUUUGGGCUCCGAUUGGGCUGAAAUUGUAAAGCCCAACGAUCGACUCUAAAAACUAAAGAGUGAGUUUUUUUUCAUGUUUUGCAUGCGGGCUAUACGCGUCCGUUCCGCGUAGAACAGAGUAUAAAUUCAGAGUUUAGGGUAAUGGGUUGGGAUUUUGGAGGAUGAAAGAUGAUGGAGUGGGGUGUUGGGGUUUUCCUUUUUGAUGGGUGUUGAAUGAAGAGUACAGGCAUUAGGUUUUUUUGUGUUUGAGGAUGAUGGGUGAAGGCGGUUUUUAGGGUUUUGUACGACGAUCUUAUUCCAUAUUAAAAUAAAGAUGAUAGACGAAGACGUUAGAAUUUUUCUGUUAGGGUUUCUCGACGUUGGGUGAGGACGAUAGGAUUUUCUAUAGGAAUUUUUUGGGCAUGCGUUAGGAUUUUUCAGGAAUGGAUCGGGCUUGACGCAAGGAAAGGGUUCAUGAUGGUUGGUGAGUCGGUGACAUAUGUUCUUUGAUUUGUCUGUAAUUUGUAAAAAAAUUAAAAAUUUCAAGUUAUGUGUUUGUGAUUUGUUAACUUUUUGUGAGAUAUUUGGGCAAUGUCUGAGUUUUAUUUCUGAUAUUUGGUUUUGUCUUCAUUGGCAGCUAUCUGAUUACAAUCUGUUUGAACUCGUUGCACAUUUGACACAGUAGAACCCUCCUUUUAUAGAAAGUCGGGAGGAGGUUAACAACAAUUGUUGAGAAAUAUCAGGGAACUGAUGAUCAUCCAUCCCAACAAAGUCCUAUGCAAACCCUGUAUUUCAUAAUGAACCCUUUAUUAGCGAUUUGGGUAUUAACAUCUGCAGCUUGGUCUAUUACUCUCAAUGAUCCGAGUUUGAUUAGCAUGGUGGGAUAAGUUUAUUUGGAGUGCUAACAGGAGUUGUUUUUUUGGGCUUCCAAUUGAUGUUGUUUUUGCAAGAAGUGAUAUGACGUAUUAUGCAGAAUUUGAUAAGAUUAAGAGUUACAUAUAAUGAUGAGUUUCGUUGUUACCUUUUUUUUCUUCUUUUUCCUCAAUAUGGAGCAUUUUGUCCCUUGUAUCAGUGCUUUUUGUCAGAUAUCAUAAAGCCUAAUCAAGGGACAUUUGAUUUUUAGAAUUCUUUCAUUCAUAAAAGAAUGGCAUAGAGAUACUGAUUUUUUAAAUCAUCUCUUCCCUUUAAAGAACAAAAUGGAACUGUAUUUGAAUGCUUUUUUUCGGAUAUCGUAAAGCCUAAUCAAGGGACAUUUGAUUCUUAGAAUUAUUUCUUUCAUAGAAGAAUGACAUUAUAGAUACUGAUUUUUUAAAUCAUCUCUUCCCUUUGAAGAACAAAAUGGAAUUUAAGUUUUUUUGUAUUUGAACUUAAUUUUUUUUAUUUGAAAGAUUGAUUUGAGAAGUGUUCAUUUACAAUAGCUUGUAUUUGAACAAAAUGACAUUAUAGAUACUGAUUUGAAAUAAGAAUAAGUGGAGUUAUGUGGUAACAAAUUCUUAUUUAUUUAUUUUCUAUUGAAUAUCAUGUUUUUGGGGCUGUUACAUUUAUGUCUCUGAGCACUCUUCUUUAUGACAUGGACAUCAAUUUGCCUCAACUCAAUUUUUUUGAUUUCUGGUUUCAUAAGAAAGGGUCAGAGUGAGGACAUUAAAACAGGUCAGUUUUUUUAAUUUAUUUUGUUAAUUUGUAAAUAAAAACAUGGCUAAUAUAGUUGUCUAGCUCACAAAUUGAAGAGCUUUUACUAUUCUUUGGGUUACCAAGGUUUGAUAUGUGAAAACCUUAACUAUGAGGUUUUUGGAAAUAAAUAAAUAAAUACUUGUCUAUGAAGAGCUUAUUUUUUUCUCUCACUUUCCUUUGGAUUACCAAGGUUUGGUUUGUGAAGAUUUUGUCUAUGAGGUUUUGGUAAAUAAAUAAGUAAAAAUGUAUGUGGGGUUUGCACUGUGGUUUAUAUGUAAAAAGUGGUAUCUUGCCUGGGAAUUGUAUAUUGACUUGGUCAUGUGCCAUUUGUAUUUUAGGCAGCUUGUGUUUUGUUCAAGAAUUCAUUGAUUAAUUUGUUAUGUUAUUAUUGCUUCCUUUUCCCACUAAUGCCUAGAGAACUUUUUGUUGGUAGGUAAAUUUUUGUCUCCAUUGAGACUUGAACUUAAAACCUCCCAUAAACCCUCUCCAACCCUUUAGCACUUGAGCCAGACCUCAAGGGCCCACUGAUGCCCAAAGAAGUACAAUUGGAUUUUUAUAAUUCAUCUAUGCUUCUUACUUGCUUUCAUGGUGUGUUGAAGCGCUCUAGUUAUUGAUUAAUUAAAUAUUCGAAGCAAAGCAUUGAAAUUUUUUUGCUUGAGUAUAAAUAAGUUUGGAAGCUUAUGAAUUAUGGCUUUACUUCUUGGUUCAGAUUCUCAAGUUCUAUGGCCAUCCGUUUUGAGUUUGCAAGUUUGGUAGUAUACCAAUCCAUUUGUCUCCAUUUCAACAAUUAUGCAUUUUUUUUUUCUUUUUAUCAAGACAAUCUAAAAGACAUGAAAAUGAUUGCUAUUGAAACCUUUUGAUUUACAUAUUGAAAGCCAAUCAAGUUGAAUAAUGUUGAGAGGAAUGCCCUUGUAGAGGCCCAAAAAGAUGAAUAGAAGUAGACUAGGUCCCAUAUCGUUUGAAAAGUCAUCCAUUUGUCCUUAGAGAUCCUUGUAUUUUUUAUGUAGGGCAACCCUAGGAUGACUAUCUACCAUCAAAUAGGUGGGUUAGGGGUUUAAGGAGAGGAAUAAGAGAUAAAGUUUAUGACAACAACAUAAAAGGAAAAAAAAAUAGAGAACUAAGAUAAAAAGAAGGGGUAGAACUUUAGAGUUGCACUCAGGACUUCUAGGAGACUCCACAAGAAAACAUAGUAUUAUUAAUCAUCAAUCAAUUAAUACUUUGGUUUACAUUAAUUAGCCUUAUUUAUAGACAUCUAAGAAAUCCAGAGUGUAUUAGGAUUUUAACAACCUAUUAUGACUCUAAUUCUAAUUCUCCUAUAACCUAAUUAUGAUUCUAAUAAUUGACUACUCCUAAUUUAACUCCAACAAAUACUAAUCCUAAUUUAAUUCAAAGUAAUACUAGUCUUACUUAAAUUGCAACAAAUCUAUCUUAGAGAUUCAACCUCAUCAAUUUCUUUGUUACCAUACUGUCUAAAUAAAUGUAAGAUCAACAAUUUUUCAUCCCUUAGCAAUCUUUCUUGUAUACCUGAGAUGUUGUACAAUACCAUAGGAGGAUAUGUCUAUAUUUCUUUGUAGAUAAUUAUUUUUUUAUUAUGAGUAUUAGUUAUAUUAUUAUGAGGUUUGGUUCAAUAAGGUUGUUGAUAGCUUUUGAUGUGAUUUUAAUAUAUAUAUAUAUAUAUAUAUAUAUAUAUAUAUAUUUUUUUUUAGAUUUUAGAAUCUCAUCUUUCAAACAUGGAAGCUCUCUGUGUGUGGAACUUUUCAGGAAAUUUACUAUGUGGGUAGGGUUCUUUCACAAAUAAGUGAAGGAACCUAAGCAAAUUAGGAUCAGAAAUGGGACGGUGUUGAUGUAUGUCACUUUAGCAGGUGCAGGUUUGACUUUGGCAGAUGAUGUAUGUCACUUUAGCACAUGGUUCAAAAUAUCGGUGGAGUCUAAUAUGACUUGGCCGAGUCGUAUUUGUCUGGAACCUUUCUGCGUCGAGUCCGAUACCCGGUACCAUCUUCAACACAGACCCAACUAAGAAUCGGUUAAACUUGGUCGCCUCGGUUGAGAUUCAGUGUGAACUUGGUGGAAAUUAUGAGUUCAAUCGUUUAAGAUCUAAAUAUUCUCAGAUUAAACCAAAUUUUUUUCCCUUUCAAAUCACAACAAAGGGCAACCAAAACUGAGAAAUCUUUAAUAAAUAUGAGAGAUUCUCUUAAAAAUAAUUUUUUUUUUCAAGAUCCAUAGCCGUGAAGGAUAAGAAGAAGAAGAAAGAAAGCUUUGUGUCAGUGAUGUAGUCGUGGUGACCGACCACAUCACAUUCUUUCAUUGAUGAUGAUCGUUGCAUGUUGGUGUUGCCUUUCCUUGCUCGAUCUCCGUAGUGUUGUUUGGCUGUGUACUAUAGAGAGGCUUUUGCUUCUGCAAACCGGGUAUCCCGUGGUGUGAAUAAGGGAUGUUUUGGAUUGAGAAUUUAAGAAAAGGGCUUAAUGCAUUGUUUUAUAUAAAAAUGAUUUAUUAUUUCAAAUGUUCAUGUAUUUGCAUCAUUUUACCUUAUAUGCCAACGGUAUUUGGAAUUAGAAAUUUGAAAAUUAGUAUUUUAUAUAUUAAAUAUGGUAUGAAUGACUUUAAUUUAGGUAACAUAUUAUUUUACAUGGUAAUGGUAUUAUAUAAGGUGUAUUAUUUUAUAUGUUAAUUUAUUAUUAAUAAUUUAAGAAAUUAUUUCAUUUAUUAUUAUGUUAAUGAUUUAUUAUUAAGUUUAUUAGUUUUGUUAAUUCAUUUAAUUAUAUUAAAAAUAAUUUUUAUAAUUUUUUGAACUUUUAAGUAUCUUGUUCUGCGUAUAGCCCGAUACGGAACCGAGACGCCAUGUGCCUUAGAACCCUCUCAGUCAAUGACUGAUACUGCGAUUUUGAACCAUGCUUUAGCAGCUGCAUUUAUAUCAGACCUGCACCUGCUGAAGUGAGAUCCAUACAUAACCCAGAUAAGUGGCAUACAUAAAGACUGUAGUGUUGACCUUGCAUCAAUCAGUCUUUUCUUUUCCUCAUAUUUGGCUGAAACUGUGUGCACUUUUUUGUCAUUCUAGAAAAUGUUGGUAGACCAUAUGAUUUUAGACUAUUUCUAACAGAAUCCAUCUUUCAUGGUUAAUUCUUCUGUUCAGACUUGGUUCAUCUGGGUUCCUGUAAUGGUAUGCAGGCCAGGUUAAAUUUUUGCUUCUUCUUUGGUCUUCAUUCUUUCUGUUUACCAAGCAUGUUUUCAUGUAAUUUUUUUAGUCUUUGAUUUUGAGAAACUGGUACAUAUUUUCAAAGUACUUCAGAAAGGAUUUGAUAGAUUGGUAAACCUGUUUCAAGCCAUCUGAUUUUCAUGUUGUAUCUGAUAUUUUCAAAGUAUAUCAGAAAGGAUUUGAUGGAUUGGUAAACUUUUUCAAGCCAUCUGAUUUUUAUGUUGUAUUUGAGUUAUAUCCAUGAGUAGGAGAAAGAAUAGCAGCGUUGGAUUUGCGUUAAUUCUGCAGAUGCCUGAUGGGCUUCCUUGUGUGAUAAUUCUACUUUCUAUUGUUUUGUUUCUAUUUGGGGAUUUCUUGGUAGGCAUGGUUAAAUUUCUUAUUAAAUUGUAUAAGUCGAAUGCACUAUAGAAAUCCCUUCAAUUUGUAAUCGCUGUCAUUAUGGUGUGGGCUGUAGCAUUGAGAUUUACCUAUGUAUUUGUAGGUUUUGAAUGGGGACUAUUUGUUCCAUGCUGAGUGAUGGUGGUAUUUUCACGAUUUUGGAUUCAUUAUGUGUUUUGGGCUGAUGAUUAUUUUGGUUUCUGCAGGAAAUAAUAUGAUGUGGGAUGUGGGGUUGAUGUGAUGGUGGUAUUUCCAUGAUUUUGGAGUCAUUAUGUGUUUUGGGCUGAUAAUUGUUUAGGUUUCAUCAGGACAUAAUAUGAUGUGGGAUGUAGGGUUGAUGCAUAUAAUAUAAAUUGAUUUUUCAUAUAAAUUGAUGCAUAUAAUAUAAAUUGCCU